UCUUGCCCUUCCACCUAGUUUCCAUGUUAUGAUGCAGCAAGAAGGCCCUUGCCAGAUGUGGCUCCUGGAUUGUGGACUUUUCAGCCCCCAGAACUGUGAGCCAAACAAACUUCUUUUGUUCAUAACUUCCCCAGUCUGUGAUAUCCUGUUACAGCAGCAGAAAAUGGACUAAGACACCCAGGGAUGUACCUGGAACCUGGAAAAAGGGGCAGAUCUGCAUCACGGGCUUGCAUGUCCAAUUUCACCUUGGCACUUGCUUCUCCGAGGGUCUGGACAUGGGGCUUCGUUUGAGUCUGGAAGCAGUGGAGAGGGGCCAGAAGCUCCAGGCCUUGGCUUGGAGAUCUCUACAGGUGUGCAUGGAGAUGUUUGAAGUGCUAAUGGCUGAGACAGAGCAAGUGGCAGAGGCCUAGGAGACGGAGGCUGAAAGAGUCUGAGGAGGAAAGGAGGCACUGAGGGACUCACAUGAAGCUACUCUGUCAGCAUUCUAAAACUUCUGACAUUCUUUUCUAUGAAGAUAAUUGAAUCACCAAAUUUGAUGAAAUGUUCCCCAAAUAUCAGGUGAAAAAAACUCAUCUAAACCUUUGGACUUGGAAUUGCCCACAUAGACCACAUCAGCAAUGGAAGACAGAGCAAAUAACAUGUCGGUUCAAUGUAUGAAGGAGCUUUUCUUUCCCCUGCCCCAACCCUCAGACAGGUAAAUCUGUGAAAGCUCUAUUUUGAUUCUUUUUAAAUUAUUUGUUUUACAUGUUUUGUGUUUUAUGUUGGCUGAUUCCAAAUGGUUGAAAUAGUGGAGGUCCAACAACCAUUUUCACAGUGUAAUCUUCAGAAGUUCAUCCUUUGGGUUGUAAUUUCAUGAUAAGGAGGAGCAAGAAGAUGCUUUUUGUAACUCAAAUAGCAUCUUCUGAGAAAGGUCUCUAUUUUCACUUGUGUCUUAACUUACAACUGUGUUCAACUCUAUUUCCUUUCCUUGCUUUACAUUUUUUCUUAUGCACCUAUAAUUAUCCAAUUUACUAUAUAUUUUAUAUUUGUCUGUUAUUGUCUGUUUUCUCCACUAAAACAUAAACUUCUUGCAGGAUUUUUGUCUGUUUUUCUCACUGUUGAAUCCCAAAAGCAAAGAAGAAUACCUAGCAUAGAGUUAGUGUUCAAGAAACAUUUGCUAAAUGGAUGAACACCUCUUCAUUUUAUGAGAAAUGAAUCUUCCCCAAGAAGGGGCUCCCGGGUGCAUCUUGUGUGUAGACAUCUCUAUGUCCCCAGGCUGCUGUAGAGCUGAGUCAUCUUUGUGCCCACACCUGGGAAGCAGGACCCUUGUUCGUGUUUCUUUGGCCUUGGGCAUGUCAGUGAGUAAGGAGGAUGUGUGGGAUCUGUGUCCAUAUUUACGUAAGAAAGCAAUAUAGCCUACUGCCCCUUUCAUUUUCAGCAAGUGUGUGUUUACACUGGCCUGGGAUCUACUAUAAAGUUUAAUGUUUGGUUAUACAUUUAUUUCUCAGCUACUUUUGUGAAUAAACAUUUUCUAAAACAUAUCUAUUUUAAAAGUGACAAUGUUUGAAUGAAAGAAAGAGGAGGAGUGAAGCCUGGUAGUUAAUUUGCAGAACUUAGAGCCUGAAUUUUUUGGGUUGGAUCUUUGAUUUUACCAUUCAUUAGUUUUGUGAUCUUCCUCAAUUUCCCAAUCUGUAAAAUGGAAAUAAUAAUAGUACCUACCUCAUGGGAUGUCAAGAGUAAAUAUAAAAAAUGUGUGACACCCAGGAAUGACUAUAUAAGUACUAGCAGUUAAUAUUAUUUAUUAUUAUUAUUCCUGCUUGAAUAAUCACUUUGAGCUAAAUCACUUUGUUUUUACUACUAGCAAUAAGCAUGCUUAAAUACUUUUAAUGUUAUUAUAAUUUGUAUUAUAGUAGACUAAUCUGGAAUUUUAUUAAGCAGAAUUCCCUCUAGACAGGCAUCUAUGCAUACGGAGCAAAAAAUGAUGUAUAUAAUAAUAAGUUUGAGGCACUGAAAGAUCUUGAAUGAGCUUCUGAAUCAUCAGUUACUGUAUCUUUGGGGAACACCAGAGAAAGACUCUCCUUACCAUCCUCACUGCAACUAAACUUCGGGACCCUGGGCUUUGGGUUCAUGGUCUCGCCACUGAAAAGGUUCCCUCCACACUUUUGGAAUUGUGCACCCAUUGGAACCCUUGAGGUAAAGCUAACCAGAGAAAUUUCUCCCAAGAAGAAGAAGAUGGCAUCCUUGAAGUGAACAGCUUUUCCCAAGUUCACAGAGUAAGACUUCUACUAUCAUGAAACUCUUAUCUUUGAAUAUUUUUUCUUGCUUAUAUCUCUACUAACAAUAGAAGUGGAAAAAGGGUCUGUUAUGUGCACUUAUGGGGUAUACUUUUAUUUGUGAAGAAGUUUGCAGCCAGCCUUAUACAUGGAUAACCUUCUACUUUGAUAGAGAUGAAGGCCCAAUGCAGGUAAGAAACUUUAGUGGUACAUAUGUUGCCCCAUAAUCACUCAAAAACAAAAUAUUGGUUCAUCCCUCUUAACCCACAUCAUGGGUUAAAGAGAACAUUGCCAGGGGGUCUUCACUCUCCUAGAAGGGCAUCAUUUGUUAAGUCCUUUUUCCAUGGCUUAAAGUAAAGGAAGCAAUGAUUAGAAAUGUAUCCCUCAUGAUAGGCUCUAUAGCAAAUCUACUUUAAAGGCUAUCGUUACACAACAGAUUUUAAAUUCUCUUUGAAAGUUAUGCUAAAUAGAAUUGGCUAAACAAAGAAGUUCUUCUGCAGCUGCUGACACUUGCGGCCUAUGGAGAAACAGGUCAAAUGCAGAUUAUAAAAAUUCAGUGUAGGGGAUUAAUGAAAAGACCACUUAGUCAAGUGAGUAGACUCUUCAUCUAGCUCAUUCUUUAAACUAUUUAAGUGUAGGUGGUUUGGUUUCUAGGGACCCUGGUUAAGGAGCAUACUCUGAACUCUGGGUAUUUUCCUUCCAGUAGUGAUAAUAGUAGUCUCCUUGGUGCACUGUAUUCUCUCAAAGGUUUUAAAUGCUUGCAUGCAGCCAUCUCUAGAACAUCAAAUGGUCUCUCUUCGACUGGAAUGACAACAGCUGAAAGAAAUGUUCAACCAUGAGGACACCAUACCUAUAAAUGAUGUGCUGAGACUGGAAACCCAAAAUGUUGGUAACUGAGAAGUGGCACUAAGGCCCUAAGUUUUGGUUGCACACUCACCUAAGUGAGAACCUGACCAAAAAGGGGGGAUUUUUAAAACAAAACUCUGUGAGGCCAUUGUUUUGGACUAAGCUCAUGCACUCAUGCCCUGGGCCCCAACAGACUAAAGCAAACACAGAUGGAGUCAUUUGUGCUAAGACUUUAAGGAAACGCUUGGAUUCCACAACAGACUAGCUUUUGUUUUUUUCUUCUGCAAAUCUCUAUAACAAACAUUUCUGACAACAUAGGUAUCCACCCCCUGAAGUUCCCAUUAAAUCUUUUAACCAAAUUCAUUUCCUCUCACCUAGAGACCAUCAAGCUUCAGAUGAUGAUGCAACAAAGGUUUCAGCCAGUUCCAGGUGAAGACACCACCCUUGGACAUCAAGAAGCUACCCUGCCUCCACUAGAUAGAGCAGGGAGAGUUCUGUGAUCCCCAAUAGGGCCUUUGUAGACGCUAUCCCUUUGUGGAGAAGACUCUCAACACCCUUCAAAUACUAUGAUCUCAUCAGGAAGGCCCUCCCUGACCACCUAUGCCUGGCUGUUGUCUGAACAAUGAAUCCUGGAAGCACCUAGGAGAAGGCACCUAGGAGAAACGUCUUAGGGAGUAGUCCCGCGGGUCCGCCCCAGGACAGUAACGCUGUCAGUUUCCCCGCCCUUUGCACCUGUAGUGCAGACGGUACCAAAUGCGAUGGCUUUGAGACGUCCUCUAGACAUCGGAGCCCAUCAUUUACCACAAAGAACACUGAAGUACUUACUUUAGCAGAACAUUUUCCGAAGAAAAAUUAACAGGGAGAGGAAAUGAAGGACACUAACAAACAGACCCCAUCUCUAGAGUCUGAGAUCAAACCCAAGUCCGAUGGAGCCCGGGCAUCUGGUGGAGGAAAGCGGGCAGGCAUAGCCCCAAUCCUGGUCCUCAACAAGAUAUUUCUGUGAAUGAAUCCCUCUGCUCCCUGGAGGAGGGCACAUUACAUAUCCCUUUCCUAAAUCAGAACUGAAGCAAUUUGCCCAUCAUUCGCACACCUCGACAGGGAAAGGCAGGAUUCCAGUGUCUCAUCAGACCCGGGAAGAGGGGAAGGGUCGCUGGCGCAGUUACCUACUGGGUUUCCGGGAGCUAGGGAAAACGCCCCUGGGAAACGCAAGUGUUCAGCGCCACAUAAAACUUCCCCGGAUUUAGGGCCACCCUAAGACGGGCGAAAAGACUCUCCAGCGCCUUAGCAGGUGCAAAGCCAGCUGUCAGUGUGCGCAUGGCGAGUCCCCGUUCCCGAGAAGGGACGCAAAUGACCCUAGAAAAUCAGACAGGAGCAAAACAAACCCAAGAAUGACCCUCCACACACCACAAAGGCAAAAGCAAACAGAAGGCACCUAGACACACUCUGCAAAGUGUAGAACUGUCUACACUUGCAUGGAGGAAUCCACCUUGCAGAGCGAGGGUAGACCUUCCCGGUUCCCAGUGUCUGGGACCGAGGCAGGUCAACACGGGGCCAAGGACAUUGCACUCAGGGCCCCUCGCGGCUCCUCCUGCAGCCCGUGGAGUCACCCCAAGACUCGGAGAGCCGGGCUGCGAUUGCUUCUCGGGACAGUAAGGACACCUCAAAAGGGAUAGAUUUGGGGGUGUUUCUCAGAAAGGAGCCACAUCUCCGGGAGCCCAGAUCUCGGGGGAGAGUCUGGGAGGCGGCUCGCCUCCAGGACCCGAGGCCGCCCCAGGCAAGGAGUGGGGCGCUCUCCGCGUAGGGCAAGUUCACCCCCAGAGCU
rnacentral:lncRNA from 1 species